UAUCAAUAAGCGGAGCAAAAGGGUCCCUGCAUAGCCCUAAGCGGAGCAAUAGAGAGGAUCCCUGCCUUGCAAUUAUAGGCGCGUAGCAUCUGUGGUCCCUUGCGAAACAGGACGUCACAAGANAGGUGAGAAUCCCGUGCGAUGAGGUGUCCAUUUCUAUGUAAGAUGUUUUCGAAGAGUCGAGUUGUUUGGGAAUGCAGCUCUAAGUGGGUGGUAAAUUCCAUCUAAAGCUAAAUAUUGGCGAGAGACCGAUAGCGAACAAGUACAGUGAUGGAAAGAUGAAAAGAACUUUGAAAAGAGAGUGAAAAAGUACGUGAAAUUGUUGAAAGGGAAGGGUAUUAGAUCAGACUUGGUAUUUAGUUAUCAUUACUCCUUGUGGGUGGUGCUCUAACUUUUUACUGGGCCAGCAUCAGUUUUGGUGGCAGGAUAAUGACAUUUGAAUGUGGCUCCUCGGAGUGUUAUAGCUUUUGUUGAUACUGCCUAUCGGGACUGAGGUCUGCGGCUUUUGCCUAGGAUGCUGGCGUAAUGAUCCAAUACC
rnacentral:rRNA from 1 species